rnacentral:rRNA from 1 species
UACGGAGGGUGCAAGCGUUAUCCGGAUUCACUGGGUUUAAAGGGAGCGUAGGUGGGUUGGUAAGUCAGUGGUGAAAUCCCCGAGCUUAACUUGGGAACUGCCAUUGAUACUAUCAGUCUUGAAUACUGUGGAGGUUAGCGGAAUAUGUCAUGUAGCGGUGAAAUGCUUAGAUAUGUCACAGAACACCGAUAGCGAAGGCAGCUCACUAGGUCUGGAUUGACGCUCAGGGACGAAAGCGUGGGGAGCAAACAGG